rnacentral:rRNA from 1 species
AUCUGGGCGGCGGAAUUCAGGAUGGCUGGGCGGGUGCUUCGCGCUCUCGUCCGGCCGUUUGAUAUUUCCGUCGCCGUGUCGGACGUCGCGACCUGUUGGCCGUCGGUCCCUGCUCGGAGGAAUCGCGAUCGAGUUCGUUGCGCGGCGCGUUCCGGCGUGCGGCGCGGCGAAGACGCGUCUCUCUGGCCGACGGCGGACAGUAAGCAACGGUGUCCGGCGCCGUGUCUCGGUACGCGGCGUCGGUGCCGGUCUGCGACGAUUUCUUCGGGCCUCUUUCCGACCCGUCUUGAAACACGGACCAAGGAGUCUAACAUGCGCGCGAGUCGCGGGGUUUCGAGCGCGCCACGGUGCGCUCGUGACUUGCGAAACCCGUACGUGGAAGGCGUAAUGAAAGUGAACAGGGAAGAUGGCGUUCCGAGACCACGUACCGUGAUCGAGUGUCGCGGCCGGACGUCCGCACUCCCGGGGCGUCUCAAUGGUUCGUCGCGGACGCCGGACGGUCGUCUUUCGGGGCGGCCGUCGGUCUGCGCCGGACCGA